rnacentral:rRNA from 1 species
GACGAACGCUGGCGGCGUGCCUAAUACAUGCAAGUCGAACGCUUUUUCUCUCAUCGGAGCUUGCUCCACCGAGAGAAAAGGAGUGGCGGACGGGUGAGUAACACGUGGGUAACCUACCCAUCAGCGGGGGAUAACACUUGGAAACAGGUGCUAAUACCGCAUAAUAAUAGCGUACGCCUGUACGCUGUUUGAAAGACGCUUUCGGGUGUCACUGAUGGAUGGACCCGCGGUGCAUUAGCUAGUUGGUGAGGUAACGGCUCACCAAGGCGACGAUGCAUAGCCGACCUGAGAGGGUGAUCGGCCACACUGGGACUGAGACACGGCCCAGACUCCUACGGGAGGCAGCAGUAGGGAAUCUUCGGCAAUGGACGAAAGUCUGACCGAGCAACGCCGCGUGAGUGAAGAAGGUUUUCGGAUCGUAAAACUCUGUUGUUAGAGAAGAACAAGGGUGAGAGUAACUGUUCACCCCUUGACGGUAUCUAACCAGAAAGCCACGGCUAACUACGUGCCAGCCGCCGCAGUAACAC